rnacentral:rRNA from 1 species
CCUACGGGAGGCAGCAGUGGGGAAUAUUGGACAAUGGGGGGAACCCUGAUCCAGCGACGCCGCGUGAGUGAAGAAGUAUUUCGGUAUGUAAAGCUCUAUCAGCAGGGAAGAAAAUGACGGUACCUGACUAAAAAGCCCCGGCUAACUACGUGCCAGCAGCCGCGGUAAUACGUAGGGGGCAAGCGUUAUCCGGAUUUACUGGGUGUAAAGGGGGCGGAGACGGGGCAGCAAGUCUGGAGUGAAAGGCCGGGGCCCAACCCCGGGACUGCAUUUGAAACUGUUUGGCUGGAGUGCAGGAGAGGCAGGCGGAAUUCCUAGUGUAGCGGUGAAAUGCGUAGAUAUCAGGAGGAACACCGGUGGCGAAGGCGGCUUACUGGACUGUAACUGACGUUGAGGCUCGAAAGCGUGGGGAGCAAACAGGAUUAGAUACCCCUGUAGUC